GAUGAACGCUGGCGGCGUGCCUAAUACAUGCAAGUCGAGCGAACGGACGAGAAGCUUGCUUCUCUGAUGUUAGCGGCGGACGGGUGAGUAACACGUGGAUAACCUACCUAUAAGACUGGGAUAACUUCGGGAAACCGGAGCUAAUACCGGAUGAUAUUUUGAACCGCAUGGUUCAAAAGUGAAAGACGGUCUUGAUGUCACUUAUAGAUGGAUCCGCGCUGCAUUAGCUAGUUGGUAAGGUAACGGCUUACCAAGGCAACGAUGCAUAGCCGACCUGAGAGGGUGAUCGGCCACACUGGAACUGAGACACGGUCCAGACUCCUACGGGAGGCAGCAGUAGGGAAUCUUCCGCAAUGGGCGAAAGCCUGACGGAGCAACGCCGCGUGAGUGAUGAAGGUCUUCGGAUCGUAAAACUCUGUUAGUAGGGAAGAACAUAUGUGUAAGUAACUGUGCACAUCUUGACGUUACCUAAUCAGAAAGCCACGGCUAACUACGUG
rnacentral:rRNA from 1 species